rnacentral:rRNA from 1 species
CCUACGGGAGGCAGCAGUGAGGAAUAUUGGUCAAUGGGCGCGAGCCUGAACCAGCCAAGUAGCGUGAAGGAUGACUGCCCUACGGGUUGUAAACUUCUUUUAUAAAGGAAUAAAGUGAGGCACGUGUGCCUUUUUGUGUGUACUUUAUGAAUAAGGGUCGGCUAACUCCGUGCCACCAGCCGCGGUAGUACGGAGGAUCCGAGCGUUAUCCGGCUUUAUUGGGUUUAAAGGGAGCGUAGAUUGGUUGUUAAGUCAGUUGUUAAAGUUUGCGGCUCAACCGUAAAAUUGCAAUUGAUACUGGCAGUCGUGAGUACAGUUGAGGUAUGCGGAAUUCGGGGUGUAGCGGUGAAAGGCUUAGAUAUCACGAAGAACGCCGAUGGCGAAGGCAGCUUACUAAACUGCCACUGACAUUGAGGCUCGAAAGUGUGGGUAUCAAACAGGAUUAGAUACCCCUGUAGUC